GGGGGCUGUCGCUGCUGCUGUCAUUUCUUGUAACUCCAGCUCCAUCAUGAGCUCCUGUAAAAGAGAAAGAUAGCAUAUUUUGAUUUCACUUCCAAAGCUCUCAAGUCAUCUGAAAAAAGCUGUUUGAAUGAAAAAGAUGAACUGAGGCAGCGUACCUGAAGCUGGAGGUUUUCCUCUAUCAGACGUCGGAUCUCCUCUUCCCUCUCUGCCUCCUCAUGGAUCCACAUUUUCUCUUUGGCCAGCAGCGUCUCCUCCAGCUCUCUCUUUUCCUUCUCCCACUGCUGUACCCUCCUCUCCCAACUCCCACUGCUUCUUUCUGGACCUUUCCACCGUCCCAGAGAACUCCUUCUUAAAGCUCUUUCUCUGCUUUCUUCAUUUCUGUUCUCACUCUGAGAACUCUUUUUGGCAGCUCUCUUCUUUUUCAGAGAGUUUCUUCUGGUAGCUCUUGUCUCUCUCUGCCAGCUUCUUCCUGUAGGUGUCCUCUUUAUCUGAGAGCUAAUUCUAAUUCUAAUUGAAGCUCUCUUCCAUCUCUGAGAGCUUCUAAUUGAAGCUCUCUACCAUAGCUCUCCUCUCUCUCAGACAGCUGCUUUCGCUUUGCCUCGAGCGCGUCACAUGUAAGUUUGCUUUAAUUCAGAGCUGACUGUGUCUCGUUCAGCAGGGCCAGGGUGUUAAUGUGAGCGUUGGUACCGGCUUGUCUUUUUUCUGUGGCCCUGCUGAUCUCUUUGUCCUUUUCAAUGAGGAGCACCUCAAGCUUGCUGGCUGUUUACUGCCAGCUGGAUUCAUCUGCAGAGGCUCCCAUCCUCCUUGUGUCCUCUUUCUGAGUGUGGAGGCUCUGUUGAAGAGAGAUGAUCAGCUCAUCUCUCUUUUUUGUCCCCUCUUCUGCCUUCUGAUGCUCUUUCUUGGGCUUCCUCCAAAAGAUGAUCCCGGAGGUGUCAUUCUUCUCCUUCAGAGCAGAGAGUUGGUGGUUGAGAGAGCUGAUCCCUUCUUCUAAUUUUCCAAUCAUCUCCUUUGCCAACGUCCUGUUGGCUUUCUCAGUGAUGGACAGCUUCCUCCGCAACAUCCUCUUUUCAUCCAGGAGCUGCUGGGAUUAAGACGGAGAGGAGAAAUGAGCAGAAAUGACAGAAGACGACACAGGGACCGCAGGCUCGCCGGCACAACAGAGGAAACCACACAGAGUACUACGGCACAACAGAUGAUGGGCAGAGUGAGAGCUCUGCCAUGUUGUUGAGCAGCAGAGGUUGGCUGCCCACCAGAGAACAGCAGCCCUGGGGGGGAUGAGCCAGCAGACUACUGACAACCGAGCCCCACUUACGGAUCAGGCCAGCAUUACCUGCAUUCAUUUUUAAGUAGUCCAACGGUCCAAAUCUCCCCUCUGGUCUCUUGAAAGACGUGUAAAGACUCUUCCCCUAUCUCUAAAAGAAAACAGACCUUUAAGCUGUUGAUUUAAGGGUUAUAGUUUAGUAUUCUAAAUUUCAAUAUUUUAAAGUUUUAGUGGUAUAUUUUUAGUUAACAUUUUAUAGUUCAACAGUU